rnacentral:rRNA from 1 species
AUUGAACGCUGGCGGCAUGCCUUACACAUGCAAGUCGAACGGCAGCACGGGAGCAAUCCUGGUGGCGAGUGGCGAACGGGUGAGUAAUGUAUCGGAACGUACCUUUCAGUGGGGGAUAACGUAGCGAAAGUUACGCUAAUACCGCAUAUUCUGUGAGCAGGAAAGCAGGGGAUCGCAAGACCUUGCGCUGAUUGAGCGGCCGAUAUCAGAUUAGCUAGUUGGUGAGGUAAAGGCUCACCAAGGCGACGAUCUGUAGCGGGUCUGAGAGGAUGAUCCGCCACACUGGAACUGAGACACGGUCCAGACUCCUACGGGAGGCAGCAGUGGGGAAUUUUGGACAAUGGGCGCAAGCCUGAUCCAGCCAUGCCGCGUGAGUGAAGAAGGCCUGGUGU